GAUGAACGUUCGCGAUAGGCUUAACACAUGCAAGUCGAGGGGCAGCAUGGUCUUAGCUUGCUAAGACUGAUGGCGACCGGCGCACGGGUGCGUAACGCGUAUGCAACUUGCCUCACAGAGGGGGAUAACCCGUCGAAAGACGGACUAAUACCGCGUACACUCCAUCUUGGGCAUCCAAGGUAGAGGAAAUGAAAUUCGCUGUGAGAUAGGCAUGCGUCCCAUUAGCUAGUUGGUGAGGUAACGGCUCACCAAGGCGACGAUGGGUAGGGGAACUGAGAGGUUGAACCCCCACACUGGUACUGAGACACGGACCAGACUCCUACGGGAGGCAGCAGUGAGGAAUAUUGGUCAAUGGGCGAGAGCCUGAACCAGCCAAGUCGCGUGAAGGAUGACUGUCUUAUGGAUGGUAAACUUCUUUUAUACGGGAAUAACAAGAGUCACGUGUGACUCCCUGCAUGUACCGUAUGAAUAAGCAUCGGCUAACUCCGUG
rnacentral:rRNA from 1 species